rnacentral:lncRNA from 10 species
CUCCGGGGCAGGAGAAAGCCUGUCAUACCCAGGCAACUCAAAGAAGGCCAGUGCAAGGUGGGAAAGAGAGCAUGGAAGGAAGUGGUGUGGGGAGAGGAGCUGCAGAGAUAUAUUGGUGGAUGCCAGACCAAACAGGACUCCAAGGUCCAGGGUGAGAAGCCAUCCUCUCUUGAAUGGGGGCUCCCACUGUACAUCUGGCACCCACUUCACAGAUCCAUGAACUGGAAGAUGCUUUCUUAUAACUCAGAGAAAAGAGAUGAAAAUGAAUCAAAGAACAGGAAGGAGACAAGCUCAGGAGAGUCACCCUAAGAAGGAUGUGUGGAAGACUUGACUGGAGGAUCAAAAUGUGUCGGGGGAAGGUGUACAAGGAGGAGUAAGGACACAGAUGUCCUGACUUCACACAGUGGGGGAUUAGAAGCCACCAUCAAACACAGAUGAAACAGGAAUAAAAGUAGUAGUACAUUACUUAAGCUUUAAAAGGUAACCAAUGGAAAAACCAACAUAACAUGCCAUAAUUGUAAGACAUGGGGAAGGGAAUAAAAAAGCAGAGGGUAUAUAUGUUAGUUCCAUUUUGAGAUGUUUAUCCAGUAUUAUUCUGCUGGUCAGCUGCAAGUGUACAGGAAGCUUGAUCAAAGAACAGACUGAGAAGAAAAGACAUUUGCCAGGUUUGAGGAAAGAAACUGAGGGAAAAAUAACACCAGUGCAGAAUGUACAAAAUAGAAGUAGCAAAGAAGAUAAUUAAUACUGCAGAAACCUGAGUCAGGGGCUGGGAGUAUGAACAGGCUUUAGACAAUCUUGGAAGAUGCAAAGGAAAAUGAAAAAUAAAUAACAACCACGAGAGAAAGGAAGGCAUAUAUGGAAGGCUACUGGGGCAUGCUCGCCAUAGCAACACGUGGGCUGACCGACCUAGAGCAUACAACAAGUGGAAACCAAAAUAGCAUGCAGUUAUACAACAAAAAUCAUCCUGAAAUGCAGGAAAAACUAAAUUGACAAAAAUGACUGGGCUUACUGUGUUCUGAAUAAUAUAUGCAAUAAUGCCUGGUGAAAAUUAUUAAAAUUCAAGGAUGAAGCCAACAAACACCCAGGUCUGAAAAACAAAUCACAAAGAAAAUUUAAAAUCCUGGUUUGGUCAGAAUUUCCUCAGCAACAUCAGAUCCCAGAAAGUCUGAGAAAAUAGGUCAAGAAAAUUUGUGAUGGAAAAACAUGUGAUCUGAGAAUACUAUAUUCAGUCCACUUGUUUGUCUUUAGUAAAAGCUGUAGGAACAAGUCUCCAACAUGCGAGGACUCAGAGGAUGUAUCACCCAUUUGCUUUUUUAUUUUAGCAAACCAAAAGAUCCACAAAAGAAGAGGCUGUUUUAUGAAAGGACUGAUCAUAGAACCGAGCCAAAUAGCACCGAUAAUUAACAUUACAAGACAGCAUCAAAAUAUUCUUAUUCUAGGGAGAAAAGCUGCACAAUAUAGAAAUAAUUAUAAUAUAGCUAAAAUUAGUAGGGUCAGAAAUAUCAGAGCAUAGCAAUUUAGAGAACAGUGUGCGAUGAGGAUGGCGCCAGAUAUAAUGAUAGUAUGCAGAAUCUUCAUCUUUUGUAGAAAAUACUAAAACAUCUUGCUUCAUAUCUGAAACUGAUAAUUGAUAAUACAUGUUUAAAGAUUUUACAUAAAGUUAAAACAUAGCCACCACCAGAAAUAUAAUCUAACUGUACUACGUCCAAAUUACCAGAUGGGAAAAAAAUAAAACAGACCUCAUAUAGAGCAAAAGAGAAAAAAAUAAAGAGGAAGAAAACAUUAAAAAGAGAAAGCAUAAAAUAAAUACAGCAAAGUAAGAGUAAAUAUAUCUGCUGUAGCAACAAAUCUUGAUUUAAUAGUUAAAUAAUCUUAUACUUGUCCAAAACCCACAAGUUUUGCAGGUGUUGUAUUAAAGAGAGAUAUUUAACUAUGAAUGACCCAGUCUGAAGGUAAAAGUUUGGAGAUGUCAUACAAAUACAAGCAGAAAUAAAGUGGGGGUAAACACAAUAAUAUCUGAACGAGUUAAAUUCAAGUUAAAUGCUGAUUAGUAAUACAUUACAGCCCUUGACAGCACAGAUUCUGCCACAUACAUUGCUGGUGGAAAUAUAAAAUAGUGCAGCCACUCUGGAAAACAGUUUGGCAGUUCCUCAAAAAGUUAAACAUAGUCUUACCAUAUGACCCAGCAAUUUUACUCCAAAGUGCAUAUCCAAGAGAACUGAAAACAUAUGUUCACCCAAAAAUGGGUAUAUGAAUGUUCAUAAAGGUAUUAUUCAUAUUAGCCCCAAAGUGGAAACAAUCCAAAUAUCCGUGAGCUGAUGAGUGGAUAAAUAAAAUGUGGUAUAUCCAUACAAUGGAAUAUUACUCAGCUAUAGCGAGGAGUAAAGUAGUGAAACUUGCUAAAAUGUGGAUGAGCCUGAAAGCAUUACGGUAGAUGAAAGAAGCCAGGCACAAAAGGCCACAGUCAUGUGAUUCCAUUUAUAUGAAAUGUCCAGAAUAGACAAAUCUAUAUAGAGAGAAAGCAAAUGAGUGAUUGAUAGGGGGUGAGGGAUGUGGGGGUGAGGUCAGUAUUUUGCUGAUGGUACAAGAUUUCUUUUAUGGGUAAUGGAAAUGUUCUGGAAUUAGUUAGUAGUGAUGGCUACACAACACAGUGAAUAUACUGUAACUCACUGAAUUAUAUUAUAUUUAAAGUGGCACAUUUUAUAAGUGAAUUCUAUCUCAAUACAAAUAAUUUUAAAAAGAACAGAAAAUCUGGAACUUGGGAUGAAGAACACUUCUGACCCUCUCUUUAUGGUGCCUAGAGCUUGUAACUGAAUGUCUCUGUAUCUUAGUUCCUAACCUGUAUAAUGAGAAUAAUAAUACCUAGCUCAUUGGUUGUUGCAGGGAUUAAAUGACUUAAUAUUUAUAAGAUGCCUGGUGUAUUAGACCAUUCUCAUGCUGCUACUAAACACAUACCCAAGACCAGGUAAUUUAUAAAAGAAAGAGAUCAGUAUGGUUGGAAAGGCCUCAGGAAACUUACAAUAAUGGAGGAAGAGGAAGCAAACAUGUCGUUCUUCACAUGGCAGCAGCAAGGAGAAGUGCCUAGCAAAAGGGGGAAAAGCCCCUUAUAAAACCAUCAGAUCUCAUGAUAACUCACACACUAUCAUAAGAACAGCAUGAGGGUAACUGCCCCCAUGAUUCAAUUACCUCCCACCAGGUCCCUCCCAUGAAACGUGGGGAUUAUGGGAACUACAAUUCCAGAUGAGAUUUGGGUGGGGACACAUCCAAACUAUAUCACCUGGCAUAGCUAGCACUAUAUAACAGUUGUUACAUUAACAUGUAAAAAGUAAACAGGUCUAAGAGCAUCUCAGAGUGGUGUAAAUAACAAUUCAAAACAAAGGAGCAACUGUCUUGGGUGGUUAUGAACAAAAUUACAAAAUACUAACUUUGAUAAAGGACAAAGGAGAAAUGACAAACUCUACAGCUAUAACCAUGGUGCCUAGUGCAUCUCUUAGCCCUUGACUCACCAAGCUGACCAAAGAAGUCUAGCCACUGGCCCCACACCAAUGCAUGGACCUCUACAGGGGAGUCCACAUCCUUCUCACAGAAUACAAAUUAGGCCAUCAAACUGUUAGUAGAUUCAAAAACUAAAUACACUACAAGUUAUAUUCAUUGACCAAUUUAGGAAUAGUAUCUGAUAACAAUAGAAAAUGCCCUUUUGUUAUUCUAACCAUUUAUCCAUUAAAACAAUAACACUAGUGUUCAAAAAUCAGAACAAAACUAAACCUUUAGGCUGAAGAUUAAAACAAAACUGCAAUUAUAGAGUAUCUUGUACUCAGUACAGUAUCGAGAGGAAAAAUUCGUAUUCUUUACCCUUUAAGAGUCAAACAAAACAAAAAAGACAUGAAAUUAAGUAAUUCAGAAUUAAGAAUUACUUAAUUAAGAAUUCAACUCAAAAGGGGGACUAAAAAGCAACACAUUAGACCCAAGUAGUGAUAAAAGCUGAAAUGUGAUGAACUGGGAACCAAAUAAAUAAAUAAAAUAAAAAUAAGAGCCAGAUUAAACUAUGGUAAAAUAAAUAAACUAUAAAACCUAAAAAUAUAAAAGCAUACUAUUAAAAAGUAUGCUUUUUAAUAGUAAAAGAAAGUAAAAGAACCACAGAGAAUUGAAAGACAGAAUAGACUAUUUGUAAAAUUCUGAUGUAAAAACUUUGAACACGUGGAUGUAAUGGAUAAUUUUAUAAGCAAAGAUACAGAUUAAUCUUGAUUAAAGAAGGAGAAAAGCUAAAUAGACAAAUACCAUGGUAAACGUUUGCGAAAGAGCCACUCUCAUAUAGCUGUAGGCGUAGGCAUUCUCCUUCUUUUAAACUUUCAAAGCACAUCUAUGAAAAAUCAAGAUAAUUCUCUCAAGAGAAUUCUCAUAACACAAAGAACAUAAAUAAAUCUUUCAAAAACAAUACCUACCAUUAGGCUUAAUGGC